rfam:Drosophila busckii chromosome 2R sequence.
UUAUUUUUAGGACGGUGGCUGUGUCAAUAUGCAACAUUCCAUUAGAUUUCCAUAUUGCACAUCUCCCGGCCCUAAAAUGG